AGUCCUAGCCGUAAACGAUGCCCGUUUGGUGUUGCAUACCUCUUGGGGGUAUGCAGUGCCGGAGCGUAGGUGUUAAGCGGGCCACCUGGGAAGUACACUCGCAAGGGUGAAACUUAAGGGAAUUGGCGGGGGAUCACACAAGGGGUGGGCGUUGCGGUUUGAUUGGAUUCAACGCCGGAAAUCUUACUAGGGGCGACAGCAGGAUGAGGGUCAGUCUGAAGGGCUUACCAGAACAAGCUGAGAGGUAGUGCAUGGCCAUCGUCAGCUCGUACCGUGAGGCGUGCCGUCAAGUCGGUUAACGGAAGCGAGACCCACAUCGCAUGUUGCAACUGGCUUCUCAGGAAGUCGGGCACUCCAUUGCGAGAACGCUGGUGAUAAACCAGAGGAAGGUGUGGGCGACGGUAGGUCAGUAUGCUCCGAACCUCCUAGGCUACACGCGACCCACAAUGCGUGCCACAAUGGGAUGCAACUCAGAAAGGAGAAGCGAAUCCCCUAAAAGCACGCUCAGUUCAGAUUGAGGGUUGUAACUCACCCUCAUGAAGCCGGAAUCCCUAGUAGGCGAAUGUCAUCAUG
rnacentral:rRNA from 1 species